CCUACGGGCGGCAGCAGUGAGGAAUAUUGGUCAAUGGACGAGAGUCUGAACCAGCCAAGUAGCGUGAAGGAUGACUGCCCUAUGGGUUGUAAACUUCUUUUAUAUGGGAAUAAAAUGUUCCACGUGUGGGAUUUUGUAUGUACCAUAUGAAUAAGGAUCGGCUAACUCCGUGCCAGCAGCCGCGGUAAUACGGAGGAUCCGAGCGUUAUCCGGAUUUAUUGGGUUUAAAGGGAGCGUAGGUGGAUUGUUAAGUCAGUUGUGAAAGUUUGCGGCUCAACCGUAAAAUUGCAGUUGAAACUGGCAGUCUUGAGUACAGUAGAGGUGGGCGGAAGUCGUGGUGUAGCGGUGAAAUGCUUAGAUAUCACGAAGAACUCCGAUUGCGAAGGCAGUUCACUGGACUGCAACUGACACUGAGGCUCGAAAGUGUGGGUAUCAAACAGGAUUAGAUACCCGUGUAGUC
rnacentral:rRNA from 1 species